rnacentral:misc_RNA from 1 species
UUUCAUGAUUUGAUUCAAUUCGAUUCGAUUUAGUUUAAUUCGAACCUAAUGCUCACCCCUAAAUGCAAUGAAAUUUGGUAGUUAAUUUGUAGGGCUCACGAAACAAGUGUUGCGUUCUAUCCUAUACGUAGUAAUGAAAUAAAAAAUAAAAUGGAUUGAUCCUUAAAAGCUGCCCCUGUGUUCCGAAUUCUAAUUGAAACGCAUUUCCACAUCAGUGCACAAUCGAAACACGUAAACCAACUACAUCGCUAGAUCUUAUAAUAGCUUGGAGAAGACUAUCUCACCGGACAAUUGUCUCUGUAAUCGGAACUCGGCCAUAAACACACUUGAGAGGAAAUUGGCAAAUCCCUUGUGAGACACAAGAGUGCUUGGAAAUGAGGACCAG